GACGAAGGAUGCAAGCGUUAUCCGGAUUCAUUGGGUUUAAAGGGUGCGUAGGCGGUCUUAUAAGUCAGUGGUGAAAUCUCUCAGCUUAACUGAGAAACUGCCAUUGAUACUGUAGGACUUGAGUACAGAUGAUGUUGGCGGAAUAUGACAUGUAGCGGUGAAAUGCAUAGAUAUGUCAUAGAACACCGAUUGCGAAGGCAGCCUGACAAAACUGUAACUGACGCUGAGGCACGAAAGUGUGGGGAUCAAACAGG
rnacentral:rRNA from 1 species